rnacentral:snRNA from 1 species
AUUUCUUGCACUGUCUUGAACAUAAUAAAGGAUACACUCUGAUCUUAUCAGCUUAAUAUCUGAUAUGGAUCCCGGAUGGAUUCAAGAUAUUAAACUUAAUUUUGUGAUGCGGCGGAGUGCUUGAAGGUUGCUUCACCUCCGCCACGGGUUGGCCCCGUAUUGCACUACCUCCGGGAUCGGCCCACUCCCU